GCCAGCAUGGUGUAGAGGUUUGAGUGUUGGACUUAAAACUCCGGAGACCAUGGUUCAAUUCCCUGCUUGGCC